AUUGAACGCUGGCGGCAGGCCUAACACAUGCAAGUCGAGCGGAUGAAGGGAGCUUGCUCCUGGAUUCAGCGGCGGACGGGUGGGUAAUGCCUAGGAAUCUGCCUGGUAGUGGGGGAUAACGUCCGGAAACGGGCGCUAAUACCGCAUACGUCCUGAGGGAGAAAGUGGGGGAUCUUCGGACCUCACGCUAUCAGAUGAGCCUAGGUCGGAUUAGCUAGUUGGUGGGGUAAAGGCCUACCAAGGCGACGAUCCGUAACUGGUCUGAGAGGAUGAUCAGUCACACUGGAACUGAGACACGGUCCAGACUCCUACGGGAGGCAGCAGUGGGGAAUAUUGGACAAUGGGCGAAAGCCUGAUCCAGCCAUGCCGCGUGUGUGAAGAAGGGCUUCGGAUUGUAAAGCACGUUAAGUUGGGAGGAAGGGCAGUAAGUUAAUACCGUGCUGUUUUGACGUUACCAACAGAAUAAGCACCGGCUAACUUCGUGC
rnacentral:rRNA from 1 species